GCCAGUGUGGUGUAGUGGUUUGAGUGUUGGACUAGGGCUCUUGAGACCAGGGUUCGAAUCCUGGCUGAGCCA